GACAGAGGGUGCAAACGUUGCUCGGAAUUACUGGGCGUAAAGCGCGUGUAGGCGGUUUCGCACGUCCGGUGUGAAAGCCCAGGGCUCAACCCUGGAAGCGCACUGGAUACGACGGAGCUGGAGUACGGUAGGGGCAGAGGGAAUUUCCGGUGGAGCGGUGAAAUGCGUAGAGAUCGGAAAGAACACCAACGGCGAAAGCACUCUGCUGGGCCGACACUGACACUGAGAGACGAAAGCUAGGGGAGCGAAUGGG
rnacentral:rRNA from 1 species